GGCUUCUAUUGAAUGAUGAUGUAAUUGGAUUCCAAAGAUUAUAAUUUAUAACUUGUACAUAAUACAUUUGCAGAAGCUUGAAUCGCUGGAUGUGAUUAUAGAUGUGAAAAUAACCUUGUUAUCAAUUCAAUGACUUUGGCAUGGUUCUGCUAUGGAAAAAUUUUAGGACCAUUGAAAGAGUUGAAAAAGAGAGUGGAGGAGACUAUAAAAAUAUGUUGAAGAAACAAGCGUCAACUAGAGAUUUAAAGAUUACGAGACAUGUCAAUCCUUCGGAAUAUGUUGCCAAAGACAUUAAAGUGAUCAAAAACAUAAGAACAUACCAUUUCAUCUAAAAAUUUGGGCAUGAGGAGGGUGGAGGUAAUGCCGAG